rnacentral:rRNA from 1 species
GAUGAACGCUGGCGGCGUGCUUAACACAUGCAAGUCGAACGGUGAAGGCGGAGCUUGCUCUGCUGGAUCAGUGGCGAACGGGUGAGUAACACGUGAGCAAUCUGCCCCUGACUCUGAGAUAAGCGCUGGAAACGGCGUCUAAUACUGGAUACGAGCUGCGAAGGCAUCUUCAGCAGCUGGAAAGAACUUCGGUCAGGGAUGAGCUCGCGGCCUAUCAGCUUGUUGGUGAGGUAACGGCUCACCAAGGCGUCGACGGGUAGCCGGCCUGAGAGGGUGACCGGCCACACUGGGACUGAGACACGGCCCAGACUCCUACGGGAGGCAGCAGUGGGGAAUAUUGCACAAUGGGCGAAAGCCUGAUGCAGCAACGCCGCGUGAGGGACGACGGCCUUCGGGUUGUAAACCUCUUUUAGCAGGGAAGAAGCGAAAGUGACGGUACCUGCAGAAAAAGCGCCGGCUAACUACGUG